rnacentral:rRNA from 1 species
CCUACGGGAGGCAGCAGUGGGGAAUAUUGCACAAUGGGCGAAAGCCUGAUGCAGCGACGCCGCGUGAGGGAUGAAGGCCUUCGGGUUGUAAACCUCUUUCAGCAGGGACGAAGCGCAAGUGACGGUACCUGCAGAAGAAGCACCGGCUAACUACGUGCCAGCAGCCGCGGUAAUACGUAGGGUGCGAGCGUUGUCCGGAAUUACUGGGCGUAAAGAGUUCGUAGGCGGUUUGUCGCGUCGUUUGUGAAAACCCGGGGCUCAACUUCGGGCUUGCAGGCGAUACGGGCAGACUUGAGUGUUUCAGGGGAGACUGGAAUUCCUGGUGUAGCGGUGAAAUGCGCAGAUAUCAGGAGGAACACCGGUGGCGAAGGCGGGUCUCUGGGAAACAACUGACGCUGAGGAACGAAAGCGUGGGUAGCAAACAGGAUUAGAUACCCUGGUAGUCCACGCCGUAAACGGUGGGCGCUAGGUGUGGGUUCCUUCCACGGAAUCUGUGCCGUAGCUAACGCAU